GACGAACGCUGGCGGCGUGCCUAAUACAUGCAAGUCGAGCGGAACUGGGGGAGCUUGCUCCUUCAAGUUUAGCGGCGGACGGGUGGGUAACACGUGGGCAACCUGCCCUGCAGAUCGGGAUAACUCCGGGAAACCGGUGCUAAUACCGAAUAGUUUGGCUCCUCCCCUGAGGCGCAGCGGAAAGACGGUUUCGGCUGGCACUGCAGGACGGGCCUGCGGCGCAUUAGCUAGUUGGUGGGGUAACGGCGCACCAAGGCGACGAUGCGUAGCCGACCUGAGAGGGUGAUCGGCCACACUGGGACUGAGACACGGCCCAGACUCCUACGGGAGGCAGCAGUAGGGAAUCUUCCGCAAUGGACGCAAGUCUGACGGAGCAACGCCGCGUGAGUGACGAAGGUUUUCGGAUCGUAAAACUCUGUUGUGAGGGAAGAACACGUACCAACUCACUAUUGGUACCUUGACGGUACCUCACCAGAAAGCCACGGCUAACUACGUGCCAGCCGCCGCCGUAA
rnacentral:rRNA from 1 species